rnacentral:rRNA from 1 species
UACAGAGGGUGCAAGCGUUAAUCGGAAUUACUGGGCGUAAAGCGUGCGCAGACGGUUGCGUAAGACAGAUGUGAAAUCCCCGGGCUUAACCUGGGAACUGCAUUUGUGACUGGCGGGCUAGAGUAUGGCAGAGGGGGGUAGAAUUCCACGUGUAGCAGUGAAAUGCGUAGAGAUGUGGAGGAAUACCGAUGGCGAAGGCAGCCCCCUGGGCCAAUACUGACGCUCAUGCACGAAAGCGUGGGGAGCAAACAGG